GUUCAAGGCCAAGUUAAUAGUGUAGAAUAAUUAGUACAUGUUUCUGUAAAUAAUCUUUUGUUGUGUCAGUGUAAUCCUUGCCAAAAUAAUGUUGUUGUUUUGGUAAAACAGGUACUGAGAGGCCUCCCUGAUAUUGAGGAAAAUGGUUUUGUGGGUGAAAUGAUAAACGAAACGAAUUUUGUAAAUUAAUGCUUAGAAAAUGGAAUUUUUUUUUUCUUUUAUUAUUAUUAUUUUUUUAAUUAUGUGCCCUCAUUUUACCACCGUAUUAUAUACCAAUUCAUUCUCAUCGUUCAAAGUUGUGCUUUCUCUAGGAUUUUGGCAGCCAAUUAUCUCCUCCGACAAUGGUAGUAGUAGCUAAGCUAGCUCAUGGGUCAGCAACUGGGUCUGGGUUUGAAGGGGCUUUCUUCUUCUUGUUCGAUUUCGUGGAAGGAUUUGGUUGGUUAUGUGGGUUUGCAUUCUCUGCCUCCACGUGCCAAUGGAUACGGGUGGUAAUCAGUGUCUUUUUUCAGAUCCCCUUCUUCUUGUACCAUGGAAAUCACUGAAACCCAGCUCCGAUUAUUUAAGCCCAGGAUGACGAUGUGGCCUCCAAAGAUAUCUCUCCAAGACGCAUUAAAUAUUAAUUUCCUUGCCGUAUUGGAAACUCCCAGCAAAAUAUUUGCUGCAAAUUAAGCUCUGCUGAAAAUGAUAAUCUGGGUAUAAAUUAAGCCACUGAAGAAAUGGCUUAGGCAUUGGAUUACUGCCAUUCACGAGGCAUAAUGCAUAGGGACGUCAAGCCUCCCAAUGUUAUGAUUGACCAUAAGCUCUGCAAGCUUCACUUGAUUGACUGGGGUCUUGCUGAAUUUUACUAUCUUGGCAAAGAAGACAAUGUACGUGUAGCUUCCAGAAUCUUUGAAAGUUGUGUUUGUCUGUGGUUCUGAUCUCCUCCAAUCAUUUGCUAGUCCUGGAAUUUGGAUUCCUUAGCAGGUCAGAACGAUAUACAGCAAGUAGGGAAGGACAAGAUGUUGAGAAAACAAUCUCAAAUGACAAAAUUUUGACCGAGAACAGAGGAAACAUAUCAAUUGUGGGUGGAUGAACUCAUACCAAACCAGGGAAGCUCAAAAAGAGUAAGGGAGAAAACAGCGGUUCAAGCAAAGUGACUGACAUUCAAGAGAAGAUAUGCUAGCAUAGAAGGUGUCACUCCAAAUCAUGCAAAACCUUGUACAAUUCAUAAUGAUAUUUAUCCUCUGUUCUUAUUCUUUUUGUAUUGGUGCAUUUAUAUUUUCCUAAGCUUAAAUAUUUGUUUCUUACCUUUUUUGGUUGAUAUCUUUAUCCUGAUCAUUCAUUGAGAAGUGCCUGUGUACUUCUCUGUGGAAUAUGAUUUGUCAAUAGAACUGGCCAGCUUUCUUUUUAUGUUAGUAAUUUGGUAUGCUCAUUUGGGUGUCACCAAGAUUGAAAUGCAAAAAUGAGGCAUUAGAUUUUAGUUUGUAAGUAGGUGUUGGAUUAUUUUAGGAUAGGCAUAUAUAGAGUUUAUAUCUCACUUCAAUGCUACUCUUAUAAAAACAUUUGGUUUCAACAAUCAAUGCAAUAAUAUGAGAAUUAAUUUUAUUUGGAAA